UAUACGGAACGUACCCUGGAGGUGGGGAUAACGUAGCGAAAGUUACGCUAAUACCGCAUACGAUCUAAGGAUGAAAGUGGGGGCUUCGCAAGAACCUCAUGCUCCUGGAGCGGCCGAUAUCUGAUUAGCUAGUUGGUAGGGUAAAAGCCUACCAAGGCAUCGAUCAGUAGCUGGUCUGAGAGGACGACCAGCCACACUGGAACUGAGACACGGUCCAG
rnacentral:rRNA from 1 species